CGUGUAGGCGGUUUGUCUAGUCAGAUGUGAAAGCCCCGGGCUUAACCUGGGAACUGCAUUUGAUACUGGCAGGCUAGAGGUUGGAAGAGGAGAGUGGAAUUCCCAGUGUAGAGGUGAAAUUCGUAGAUAUUAGGAAGAACACCAGUGGCGAAGGCGGCUCUCUGGUCCACACCUGACGCUGAGGCGCGAAAGCGUGGGGAGCAAACA
rnacentral:rRNA from 1 species